GUAGGCAUAGCUCAGUGGUAGAGCACAUGCUUAGCAUGCACAAGGUUCCUGGGUUCAAUCCCCAGUACCUCCA
rnacentral:tRNA from 1 species